rnacentral:ncRNA from 1 species
UGUCCCUCAGGAUAGCUGGUGCUCUCACACUGUUGAACCCAUGCAGUUUUAUUCGGUAAAGCAAACAAUUAGAGGUCUUGGGGAUGAAAUGAUCUCAACCUAUUCUCAAAAUUUAAAUGGGUAAGAAGUCCAGAUCGCUGGUGUGGAGGCAGGCGUGGAAUGCAAGUACCUACUGGGCCACUUUUGGUAAGCAGAACUAUAUACACAAGUA